ensembl:lncRNA
CAACAAUGGUGGUGGCUGUGUUCCAGAGUGAAGUUGGUGUCACGGCAACCUGGAAUGCAGACCAGAAGGGCAGUGCCAGCAAGAGAUCACCCCGGGGUAAAAGAGUGAGCAAGGGCUGUGGUGGGUAAGAGCAGCCCAUGGGGAUGGACAGCGGCUACUCCUCCCCCACCUCACAGCCACACACAGGGACAGGGACACAGCAGGACAGUGAGACACUCCUGUUCUCACCUGCAUUCAUAUCCUGACAAGAGGGCCAAGCACUGCAGGACAGAGCCCUGGCCCCAAUGCAGGUGCUGGCACUGUACCUACUGAUUGCAGCGGCACUUUCAACACACAGUUGUGGAAAAGUGGAGGCAGAUCAGCAACCUGAUGGGCAUCUGCACAAAGAUGGAACCAGAGCAGAACACAUGCAUAUCCUCAGCCCUCUGUCAGGUCUCCAUGCUGCCAUACAGAACAGAUAAGUCAGACACAAAUGCUAUUCUUUCUACAUCCUCCAAAACCCUGGAAGGUCCCCAAGAUCCUCCUGCCCUCAGGGGGGCAAAUAUUUUAUACAACUUUGCUGAGCCCUGGCCCCACUGCAGGUGCUGGCAACGGAUCUACUGAUUGCAGUGGCCCUUUCGACACACAGCCAUGGAAAUUGCUGACAGAUCAGCAACCCGAUGGACAUUUGCACAAAGACAGAACCAGAGCAGGACAUACACCUAUCCUCAGCCCUCUAACUGGUUUCCGUGCCACCAUGCAGAUAAGUCUGAAACAAACGCUAUCCUUCCUCAAUUCUAAAUUACCUUGGAAGCUCCCCAGGAUCCCCAUGCCCUCACCUCAACAUUUUAUACCACUUUGCUGAGUCCUGGCCCUGUUGCAGGUGCUUGCAACGGACCUACUGAUUGCAAUGCCAACUGAUAAAUGAGGCCAUGGAAAUGGCUCAUAGAUCAGUAACCCGGUGAGCAGGGCUACAUAGGGGAGGACAGCACAG